AAAGAUUGCCACAUGACGACAAUAACAGUUCGAAGAAAUAAUCAGGAAUAUGUCGUGCCAGCAAGUUCUUCACAGGACGCGCAACCAUCCCCCUUAGCCCUACUCGCAGCAACUUGUAGCAAAAUUGGUGAUCCUGCGACUGCCUCUGAGGGAGGAGCCAGUCAGAAUGGGGGUAAUGCUGUGAGAGUUGUAGGACAAGCUGGGGGUGCGGAAAUUGUGACUCCAAACUUUAUUCAACUACCGUCAGGUGCCAUUGUCGAUGCCAGUGGUAAGCAGCAGUUUGGGAUUCCUGUGUCUAUUGGUCCAAAUGGCCAGAUAAUACAACAAACAGCCCAGCCUCAAUUAUUCACAAAUGGAAAUGUCCAGUAUAGUGUUAUUCCCUCCUAUCCUACAAUUGGCAUAGAUAGCCAAGAUGGAUCAGCCAUCAUCAUUCCAGCAUCGCCAUCUGGAAAUAAUGCAGGACAAGCUUUAUUUUCUAGUGGACAACAAACAGUGCUAGCUGCCCCAAAUGGUCAAUUAAUCCGAGCUCAAGGACUACCUGCAAACAACGUGAUUCCGAACAUGGGAUUUGCAAAUUUAACAGGAAAUGUUGUGAAUUUAGGAGGAAAUUUAGUGAGUUUAGGAAAUGUGCAGGGUGGGCCUAGAUCUGUUCAGACUGUUCAGCUUCAGUCACAAUAUCAACAGAUGCCAAAUUUUAUCCAGCUACCUGUGUCAAGUGGCCAGGCCACAGCAGCAAUGCAAGCCAUUCAGCUGCAGAACCUCCAAGGUUUUCAAAUGCUCCAAGGUACCCAGCCAAUCAGUACAACUGCUGGUGGAGGGGGGCAGACAACUGGGGAUGGAACCCAGACUGUGUCCAGCACUGGGACUGUUAGUAUCCCCACUCAACCCACACAGCAACAACAGCCACAGACAAUUCAAAUCCAACCACAAGUGCUUGAAAUUUCUAAUGUGACAUCCACCCCCUCAAAGGGAGGUAGUGACAAUAAUAAUGGCAGUAAGCCUCCCACACCACAGACUUUAACAAUUCAGCCUAACCCUGUUUCUUCAUCUCCCUCCUCCUCAUCCUCUUCAUCAUCAACAACUACACAACAGCCAAGUCAGGCUGCUAUGCCCCAGAUCCUCCCUGCAAGCUCUCUGCCAAUUCAACAGAUGCCCACCCUUGUAUACAAUGCAGCCACUGGACAGUUAAUUCCUAUCUCUCAAGGCAUGAUCAUGUCUAAUGGACAAAGUAUUGUAAUGAAUUCAAUGCCACAGAUGUCCUCUAGUACUUCAACUUCAACUGUCAGUACUGUAGCUUCCUCUCAGUCUACGCAGCCUGUCUCAGUGCUUCAGCCCGGUCAGAUAAUAACGCCCCAGCAGCUGGGUCUGCAGACUAUUCAAGGGCAAAACCUUCAGCUGGGGGGACAGCAGUCGGGCCAGGUCAUUACUGGCACACCCUGGCUAUCUGCCAUCAACAAUCUUAACAUGGGUAAUAUCAGGGCACCCAACACAAUACAAACAAUCCAGGUCCCCAACAUGACUCUACAAAGUCUUCAAGGUUUACCUGCGGUGCAGAGUUUUCAGGGGAUUCAGACAUUUCAGCUGACACCCCAAGGACAGCUGAUUGCUGCUGGUCCCACUCCUAUACAGUCCAAUCUGACCAUCACCUCCCAGGGGGGCCUGGCCCUGGCUGCUUCUCAGCCACAGACCAGUCAGCAGACCCAGCCAGCACAGUCCAUGAGCCCCCAGCUGUCUCAGCAAUACACAGCCACUGUACAGAACAUACAGCCAGCUCCCCAACAGGCACAGAUCAUUAAUGCCAAUACAGGACAACCUGUUGCUGGCACCACUAUUCAACAAGACCCAAAUGACCCCACAAAAUGGCAGGUGGUUCAAAAUCCCAGCAACCCACCCCUAAGUCCCACUGAGCAGGGAAUAGCCCAGCCUGGCCGAAGACUGCGAAGAGUGGCCUGUACUUGUCCUAAUUGUAAGGACAACGAAGGACGAACUGGGGAAAACAAGAAAAAACAGCAUAUUUGCCACUAUCCUGGAUGUAAUAAAGUAUAUGGGAAAACAUCACACUUGCGUGCCCAUUUGAGGUAAUGUUUAUCAAAGCAGCACCAUGAUAAAUCUAAUCUUUCAAAUGUUGUUGCAUAUAUCAGGAUUUUCCUUCCAUUUUGUAUGUACCUAUUUUGCUUCAUGUAGAUGGCACUCAGGGGAACGCCCCUUUGUUUGUAAUUGGCUGUUUUGUGGAAAACGCUUCACACGAUCAGAUGAACUACAGCGUCAUAGAAGAACCCAUACAGGAGAGAAGCGGUUUGAGUGUCCGGAAUGUCAGAAAAGGUUCAUGCGAAGUGAUCAUCUCACAAAACACAGAAAAACUCACAAAAACAAGAAUGCAUCAUCAGCGUUAGACUCCAGUGAAACCGGGGAGGAGGGAGAGAUUGAGGGGUUUUCUGAGACUCUGACCGUGAACACAGAUGAGGGGCCCACCACCAUUCAAGUGGUCACCUACACAGGCCCACCGAUACAACAGGUGGAGGAGGGCUGAGCUGACAGUGCCCCAAAGGGGGUGAAUGCUGUGUCCUCAGUGUACCAAAGAGUCUGGUACAUUGAUCUUUUGCAGUAUCCAUUUACAAGGUGCUACUAAGAAGCAGACUCUGAGUCAAUAUGGAAAGCACAUGUGCUCAGUAACAAAUGCUUCAACAUUUUAUUGCUCUAAGCAAUUAAAGUAAUCAGUGCAACUGUGUAUGUCAGCAUCCUAAGACUGUAUACGUACGAUACGUUCUUGAAUCUGUUGACUCAGAAAAUUAUCAUACAAUGCUUUGAUCAGUGGUCCUAGUAAGACAUGACACUUAAAAGAAUUUUACAAUGCUUAUGUGAAAUCAGAGAGGCAUGGUUGUAAAAGUGUCAUCCAUUGCCCUGUUCUGUGAAUUAGAGGAGCAGUUUCUGGGCUGGAAUUGUUUAUGCCAUCCUUUAAUUGGUCUGUAAUUCCACCGUAAGACUCUGUUGCCAAGCAUGCAUGAGUGAAGAUAGGACGUUUUUUAUGUUGUACAGGUACUCAGUUUUUAUGUAUUUUUUCAUAAAUCACAUGGUUCUCAUUCCAUCAAAUUUUUAUUUAUGUAUUUAAGAGGAUGAAGUAUUAGUGACAUUGUUGUAUUUUGAGCAUGUAUGACAUGUUCUUAUAAAAGUUGUUACUGUG
rnacentral:misc_RNA from 1 species